UGGGGAAUUUUGGACAAUGGGCGAAAGCCUGAUCCAGCAAUGCCGCGUGUGUGAAGAAGGCCUUCGGGUUGUAAAGCACUUUUGUCCGGAAAGAAAUCCUCUGGGUUAAUACCUCGGGGGGAUGACGGUACCGGAAGAAUAAGCACCGGCUAACUACGUGCCAGCAGCCGCGGUAAUACGUAGGGUGCAAGCGUUAAUCGGAAUUACUGGGCGUAAAGCGUGCGCAGGCGGUUUUGUAAGACGGAUGUGAAAUCCCCGGGCUUAACCUGGGAACUGCAUUCGUGACUGCAAGGCUAGAGUAUGGCAGAGGGGGGUUAGAAUUCCACGUGUAGCAGUGAAAUGCGUAGAGAUGUGGAGGAAUACCGAUGGCGAAGGCAGCCCCCUGGGCCAAUACUGACGCUCAUGCACGAAAGCGUGGGGAGCAAACAGGAUUAGAUACCCUGGUAGUCCACGCCCUAAACGAUGUCAACUAGUUGUUGGGGACUUCAUUUCCUUAGUAACGUAGCUAACGCGUGAAGUUGACCGCCUGGGGAGUACGGUCGCAAGAUU
rnacentral:rRNA from 1 species